rnacentral:rRNA from 1 species
GACGAAUGCUGGCUGCGUGCUUAACACAUGCAAGUCGAACGGUGAAGGAGGGCUUGCCCUCCGGAUCAGUGGCGAACGGGUGAGUAACACGUGGGCAACCUACCCCUCACUCUGGGAUAACGCCGGGAAACCGGCGCUAAUACCGGAUACGACCAGGCGCGACAUCUCGCCUGGUGGAAAGAAUUUCGGAGAGGGGAUGGGCCCGCGGCCUAUCAGCUUGUUGGUGGGGUAACGGCCCACCAAGGCGACGACGGGUAGCCGGCCUGAGAGGGCGACAGGCCACACUGGGACUGAGACACGGCCCAGACUCCUACGGGCGGCAGCAGUGGGGAAUAUUGCGCAAUGGGCGAAAGCCUGACGCAGCGACGCAGCGUGAGGGACGAAGGCCUUCGGGUUGUAAACCUCUUUCAGCGGGGACGAAGCGAAAGUGACGGUACCCGCAGAAGAAGCACCGGCUAACUACGUGCCAGCCGCCGCGGUAACAC